UGNUCUGUCACUGACGCUGAGGCUCGAAAGCGUGGGUAGCGAACAGGAUUAGAUACCCUGGUAGUNCACGCCGUAAACGAUGAGUGCUAGGUGUUAGGCCCUUUCCGGGGCUUAGUGCCGGAGCUAACGCAAUAAGCNCUCCGCCUGGGGAGUACGACCGCAAGGUUGAAACUCAAAGGAAUUGACGGGGGCCCGCACAAGCGGUGGAGCAUGUGGUUUAAUUCGAAGCAACGCGAAGAACCUUACCAGGUCUUGACAUCCCGAUGCUAUUCUUAGAGAUAGGAAGUUACUUCGGUACAUCGGAGACAGGUGGUGCAUGGUUGUCGUCAGCUCGUGUCGUGAGAUGUUGGGUUAAGUCCCGCAACGAGCGCAACCCUUAUUGUUAGUUGCCAUCAUUAAGUUGGGCACUCUAGCGAGACUGCCGGUAAUAAACCGGAGGAAGGUGGGGAUGACGUCAAAUCAUCAUGCCCCUUAUGACCUGGGCUACACACGUGCUACAAUGGUCGGUACAACGAGUUGCGAGCCGGUGACGGCAAGCUAAUCUCUGAAAGCCGAUCUCAGUUCGGAUUGGAGGCUGCAACUCGCCUCCAUGAAGUCGGAAUCGCUAGUAAUCGCGGAUCAGCACGCCGCGGUGAAUACGUUCCCGGGCCUUGUACACACCGCCCGUCACACCACGAGAGUUUGUAACACCCGAAGUCGGUGAGGUANCCUUUUAGGGGCCAGCC
rnacentral:rRNA from 1 species